CCUACGGGAGGCUGCAGUCGAGGAUCUUCGGCAAUGGGCGCAAGCCUGACCGAGCGACGCCGCGUGGAGGAUGAAGGCCCUCGGGUUGUAAACUCCUGUCGAGGGGGAGAAAAGCCGUUAGGCCUGAUCGACCCCUGGAGGAAGCACGGGCUAAGUUCGUGCCAGCAGCCGCGGUAAGACGAACCGUGCGAACGUUGUUCGGAUUCAUUGGGCUUAAAGGGCGCGUAGGCGGGCCGGCGAGUCAGGGGUGAAAGCCUCCAGCCCAACUGGAGAAUGGCCUUUGAUACCGGCGGUCUUGAGGGGGGUAGGGGCACGCGGAACUUCCGGUGGAGCGGUGAAAUGCGUAGAGAUCGGAAGGAACGCCGGUGGCGAAAGCGGCGUGCUGGGCCCCUUCUGACGCUGAGGCGCGAAAGCCAGGGGAGCAAACGGGAUUAGAUACC
rnacentral:rRNA from 1 species